UUUCCUUACCUGGUGUACAGACUGAAAUGGGCAUAUCUGUAGGGGAGGUCCAGGUGUCUAUUGGAAGUACUUACCUUACUGAGCCAGAGAUGUCCUUGCAUGCUUGAGGUGUGUGUACCUUCAGAGCCCAGUCAACAGUAUGUAGCAGCUCCUGAAUGAGUGAUUCAAGGAUUUUUCGUCAUGCUUUCACCCUGUUGAGUUAAAAGAGUUUCCCAGAGGAUCAGAAACAGAUUCUGACACCAGCUUCCAGCUUUCUCUUUAUGUCCUUGAGCAGAACUGUGUUCAAUAAAGUGAGCAAGAAUGGA